rnacentral:lncRNA from 1 species
CCGGGCGGGGCCGGGGCCGGGGCGGGCCUUGCUCCCCCACUACCCCCGGCUGCGCCCGCGGCUCCGGAAACGCGCCGCGGGGCUGCUGGGCUCAGCCGCGCGCGGGCGGCUCCGUGGCGUUUCCUGCCACGCCGGGCCUGCCUGGGCCUCGCCAACGCCGCUCCGCCGAGGUCCGCGCGUCGGCCGCCACGGGGCCGGGGAUUCAGUGACAUUUGAUGACGUGGCCCAGUACCUCACAAAAAAGGAGCGCCUGAGACUGGACGCUGAGCAGAGGACACUGGCAUACUACAGGAAUGUGAACUCCGUGGGAGUUCCUGUUUUGAUUGCUGCCUGGCUCCUCACCUGGUACAAGGCCACGUGGUGCUGGCAUCUGAGCCAUCCCUGAACACAGACUGAGGUAAGCAUUCCGCUGAGUGCAAAAGAACCCCGGAAAGUGCGAAGAAACUGUGGAGGAGGCCCCCGCCGAGCCUUUGGGGAGGGGGUGUGGCUGCUUCUCAGUCACAGGAGGGGAGACCUCCUCAGCACCCCUUUGGUAGGGGGCGUCCAGCAGUGACA